AGUGUGAGGACGUUUCUGCGUUGGUCGGGGUCAGGUAUGCGUGCAGUAUUCAGUAUUCAGGCAGUUGAAGCUAGGUUGAAUCGAGUCCAAAAUCAGCUUUUAUUCGUUUAUUAUUAGCAGUUUUACUUGUGCACUAAAAUAGCCUACUAUUACUAUUCAUAUUGUGUGUUAUUUAGUAAUUCAACUUUUCUUAUGCAUUAACGUUAUAACUACCUAUCAUGAAUUUUGUUUAUAAGCAUUUUCAUAGCUUUUCCUAUCGGGACCGAUAUUUUACCCCCAAAUUUGCUAGUUUUGAUAAUUCGCAUAGUAUAGAUUCGGUAAACUUUUUUCAUUAUUUGACUGUAAUUCUAUGCCGACCAUAUUAUACAUGACCUUUGUGUUUCAUGAUAUAAUAUUAUUAUUGUCAAUGUUGAAUAUCUUUCGAGUGUAUUUAUUUUAUUAUAUCUCCCGUAACCCGAUUCAUUUAAGAUCUGAAGAAAAUGACGUACAGAGUUCUUUUGGAUUCGAUCUUGUUUGUACGUAUGGUUCGUUACUCUUCUCAGGUCGUCUGAACAACAAUAAAUAUACAAAUUAGGGCUUAAUAAAGCAAACGAAGAAGGGAAGAAAACGUACUAUUAAUUGUCACUGGUGACUAAUCGAUCCGAAUGGAAAGGCAUAAACUUCUUUGUGAAUUACAAGAUCGAAGUAAUAAUGGCUAUCAAGUAAUCAAUUUCCAAGUACAGAACUGCGAUGGGAUAUUUCGAAUAUAACCUAAUUGAGAGAGCGAAGAAAUAUUGACAGCUGAAUUAGCACUUUUUCGCGGACAGAACUACAAAUGGACAAUGGAUAUUUUGUUUGGAGGACGGGGUGUGCAGAGAAUUCGAAACUUAAUCAAAAUCGUACUACCCCAAUGCUACUAAAAAUACCGAUGAAGAAAGAAAUGAACGAACCUUGGUGACGGAAGAAGCUGUUGCUCCUUUUUGCGAAUACAAGAGUGUUUUGUAUCGUAAUUAAUGAAGAAUACGAAUUUUGCUAGUUUAACGAUGUUUUGCACUUUUUUUAAAUCUAAUAGCGCCUAUUCAAAGUAUGUUUCGACAUCCCCCUUCUUAAAUGAAAACUCUCACCCAAAUUCGUCUAUUUAUUAUGACCCCCCAACAUAACAUUCGCCCAUUAUGCGUCACUAGCACCAAGCUUUCCGUUUUACAUUUUUAUCAUGAACAGCAAAUGUUGAAUUAAACAAAAAAUAAUUUAAAAACGAAAGUAAAUUUUGAACUAUAGCCGCCCAAAGUAGUCAGUUGAGCAAAAAUUCAGAUGAACUUUGACCUCCCCUCCCCAUAAGCAUUGGUUUGAUACUAACAUAGUGUCACCACAUCGGAUUCAGACCUUUCUUUUUCAAAUUAAUAACAUCGCCAGUGUUUAUUUGAAAUUUUGUCAUAAACUAAUAAAAUGCUGCAUUAAUCCAAGUCAAAUGGAUGAUUAUUUCUUUUAAUAUUAUUUUAUUAUUUAAAUUAAAUUCCUACAUCUGAAUAAUUGCUUUCUUCUAAUUAUCCAUAUUUUAAUAUUGGAACUUUUCAUGUUUACGUGUUUCGCUGCUGUGGUAUAUUAAUUUCAUCAGUUUUUUCUUUAUUGCUUGAUUUCUGAAAUCUUGAAAGUUUAUUGAUUGGAGCAAUAAAUUGUUUUCGAAAUUUUA